UAAAAAAGUUAAUAAUAAAGUUAGAUUUGUUAAAAAUAAAUUUAAAUAAUCAGUUUUUUUUUAUAAUUUAUUAAUUAAACUAAUAAAAUAAGAGAAUAAAAUUAAAAUUCCUCUAAUAAACUUAAUUAAUAAAAUAUAUGUCGGGUUUACAUUAGAAUUAGGGUUAGGGGCGUGAAAGAAUCUUCGUUUGGGUUACACGUUGUCGUUAUGCAAUAGAGAAGACAUUGACUAGUGCAAAUACGAUUAUUAUAGAACCGGACAAGUAACCGCGGUAGUUAGGUACUCGAGAAACUAAUGACAAUGAUCCUAGGUUCAAUAACGAAUCCGCGGUCGACGGGAUGAUAGAUGAACGUACUCACAAAAUCUAAGUCGGACGCGUAAUAUUCACUGGUCGUAAAGAGUUACUCCUUUCAUCAGUGAGAUCGCGAGCGAGAGAAUGCCUUUCCCGUCCCGAUGAUGCUACAGAGGAAAACUAUAAGGGGGUGUGUCUAAGGACACGAGAUCAUCGGAUUCGUCGAGAAAAGCCUUCGUUCAGAAAGUAAAGGAAAUUGGCGUUGCUGCUAAUUGGUCAAUCUCCAUAUCGGUGGUUAGAAAAAGAUGCUAGCCGCCCUCGAGGGAAAGUUGC